UACGUAGGGAGCAAGCGUUGUCCGGAAUCAUUGGGCGUAAAGCGCGCGUAGGCGGCCCCGUAAGUCCGCUGUGAAAGUCAAAGGCUCAACCUUUGAAAGCCGGUGGAUACUGUGGGGCUAGAGUCCGGAAGAGGCGAGUGGAAUUCCUGGUGUAGCGGUAGAAUGCGCAGAUAUCAGGAGGAACACCAGCGGCGAAGGCGGCGCUCUGGGCCGGUACUGACGCUGAGAAGCGAAAGCAUGGGGAGCGAACAGG
rnacentral:rRNA from 1 species